rnacentral:lncRNA from 1 species
AUGUACUGAGGAGACCAACAUUCAUUUCUCUCCUGUCAUUCAGCUAGCAACCCAGUGCAAGCAAAUGGAAACCGCCAGUGCUGGGAGACCAAGGUCUAAACAUGAGAAAGCAGGUUGUGCAUCCAAAGAUUUAAGAAUUAAGAGCCUGUUUAGGCAAAGUCCCAUGGGGGUAUGCAAAUAAAACAUUCUUCAGAUGCAUUUGGUCUCAUGCGAGUGAGUAUGUCAAAUUCAUUAAUGCCUGCGGUACAAGGUGGAAUAGGAGAUGCAAAAAGAACUAGGUAGAGCAGUGAAGAAAAGUGGACUCCAGUGCCCGGCCAGCCUAGGUUUGAGGCACAGCUCUGCCACGUUAGUGUUAUGUGACCUUAGAAAAAUGAUGUAACUUCCCUGAGUCUCAUUUUUCUCAUCUAGGAAAUGGGAAUGACCUAUGGUGGAGGCUGCUAGAGCUUACCAUUACCUGGUUCUUUUCUUCCUGGGCACACGGUCUGACUAUACUUACAGUUAGGUAUGGCUAUAUGAUUGAGCUCUGAUCCAUAGAAUGUAAGUAGAGAUGCUGUGAGUGCUUCUAGGCCUACUUGGUAAAACUCUCCCAUGUGUAAUCCUUGUUCUCUUUCCCCAUCUUGUAGCUGAAUAGAAAGAGUCCUGACACCGUAGAGGAGGGUCCAGCCACAAGGUGAAAGGAUCCUGGGUCCCCAGAUGACAGCACAGAGCAGAGCUCCCCAUCUUAACCCAAAUCACCUAACCAUUGUGAGUUGAGCAAGACAUAAACUUUCAUUGUGUUCAACCACUGGAAUUUUGGGGUUAUUGCCAUUAACUUAUCGUGAUUAAUACAUUGAUCUACUUCACAGGAUUUUUAUGAGAGAGCUUGUGAAAUGCCUCACUUAGGUGCCCAAUACAUGGUCCUUGUUACCAUCAAGAUUAUUGGACCCUCACCUUUUCCUCAGAUGCCAGUGAAUUCUCCAACUCAAUCAUUCAUUCACCUCAUCUUAGAAGAAUUUCUGGAUUUUCCAAGGAAGCAUCAGAUGUACAGACCAAUUUACUCUGAGCUACUAUUUUUUUUCUCAUCCCAGAUCAAUCGUCUUCAUCUAAGGUAUAAUGGAGAAUGGGGUUGGCAGAUGAAACCUUUUCA